GGUUCGAGUCCGGGUUUCAACUACCUCGCGGUGAUUAAGCCGCGCUCUCAAUUGCAGCCACGGACCGGUACCGCUCCGUCGCCCGGGGGUUGGUGACCCCUUCAAUAGGUCACGCGAAGGAGUAUCUCACGGGUAGCUCUGUGAUGUGCACUUCCGCGGGUCGUUCUUCAGCGCCGUUCUGCGCAAUCGGGACGAGACGAGGGGAAAUCAAAACACGACGGCGAGAGAUGAAACGAGGCGACCCCGACGAAAAAGACAAACGAGGUUUACAUCCAGGAAGCCUUUCUGGACAUACGCGCCUCUACCGCUCUGGCAGCUGAAGAUGAAGACGCAAGCCACGGUACUUCGACGGCCUGAAGGGUGGCUCCUAGGGACGGGGCAAAGACAAAAAAACCCAAGAGACCUCGUUGAGGACCCGACCCGCGUGGAAAGUCGCCACCGCCACGUGACGUUUUGCCGUGGAGCGUGGUGCGUGGUGCGUGGAGCGUGGAGCGUGGUGCGUGGUGCGUGGAGCGUGGUGCGUGGU